GAGAGAGUAGCACCUCAGACAGAGCAGCGCUGGGCAGGCUCAGGGGAGCAGAAGUGAGGGAGCUCCUGCCAGACUGAGGUCACUGACCCAAAAGACUGAGAAGGCAGGCAGUGGAGGAGGCAGUAAGAGGCUGCUGUUCGAGGGUCCCUAGGCUGGGCCCCAGAUUAGUGGGUGGGCCUGCCCAUCCCCUUUGCCCCACUAGCCGCUGGAGAGAGUGUCCAAGCAAAGGACUGCAGCUUGCCCCUGAGUGAGGGCCUAAGUUUGGGUCUGCAGUUCACCACUGUGGCAUGGGGCUGGACUGAAGAUUGCCGGUUCCCCCGGAAGUAGGGAGAAUGGAGUUGGGGGCCAAGCCGGAGGGCCAUCCUGUGAAGAGGACGCUGCAAGCCAGGGAGCAAUGUGGGUCCCAGAUGAGGAGUGGGAGCAACAAUGGUGCGACACCACCAGAAGGUGCUAAUUCCCAGAGUGACCAGCAGGAGGCACCAUGGGAAUUGAAGCUGAUUAGACUGAAAGCAAAAGGUUACAGCUUUGAAAUAUUUCAUUUUUUUUCUAUCAAAAUGAAAUGUUUCAACUGAUCCAAAAUGGAAAACAAGGUUAAGUUUGUGAAUAUUUGGGGGAUUUUGUUUUCUUGACCUGAUUCAAGAUGGGGUGGGAAAAUUUCAUCUUUUGAAAAUAUUCAUAGAAUGGAGAAACACUAUUAAACUUCCUAUGCCAAUUGAUUUCACUAGAAAGAA